GGCGAUCAGAUACCGCCCUAGUUAUAACCGUAAACGAUGCCAACCAGCGAUUAAUCGGCGUUAAUUACUAUGACCCGAUUAGAAGCUUCCGGGAAACCAAAGUUUUUCGGUUCCGGGGGAAGUAUGGUUGCAAAGCUGAAACUUAAAGGAAUUGACGGAAGGGCACCACCAGGAGUGGAGCCUGCGGCUUAAUUUGACUCAACACGGGAAAACUCACCCGGCCCGGACACCGUAAGGAUUGACAGACUGAUAGCUCUUUCUUAAUUCGGUGGGUGGUGGUGCAUGGCCGUUCUUAGUUGGUGGAGCGAUUUGUCUGGUUAAUUCCGAUAACGAACGAGACUCUGGCCUAUUAAAUAGUAGAGUCAUUUUGAACAUAGUGAUUCUUACUUCUUAGAGGGACAAGCGGCGUCUAGCCGCAUGAAAUAGAGCAAUAACAGGUCUGUGAUGCCCUUAGAUGUCCGGGGCUGCACGCGCGCUACACUGAAAGAAUCAGUGUGCGUCCAGAACCUAGUCCGGAAGGACCGGGUAACCCCAGUAAAUUCUUUCGUGCUUGGGAUAGGGAAUUGAAAUUAUUUCCCUUAAACGAGGAAUUCCCAGUAAAUGCGGGUCAUAAGCUCGCGUUGAUUACGUCCCUGCCCUUUGUA
rnacentral:rRNA from 1 species